rnacentral:rRNA from 1 species
UACAGAGGUCUCAAGCGUUGUUCGGAUUCAUUGGGCGUAAAGGGUGUGUAGGUGGCGCGCUAAGUCGGGUGUGAAAUCUCGGAGCUUAACUCCGAAACUGCAUUCGAUACUGCCGUGCUUGAGGACUGGAGAGGAGACUGGAAUUUACGGUGUAGCGGUGAAAUGCGUAGAUAUCGUAAGGAAGACCAGUGGCGAAGGCGGGUCUCUGGACAGUUCCUGACGCUGAGGCACGAAGGCCAGGGGAGCAAACAGG